rnacentral:lncRNA from 1 species
AUGUCAGAGCACAACAAGAGCCACAACCGCUCGCCCCCCCGCCGCCGCAGCCCCCGCCGUCCCGCGGGGCUGAGACCAGGCCGGCUCGUGGCGGCCGGGCACGACGAGCCCCCCGGCCACCGGGCGCUGCUGCCUGCAGAAAGGAAGGAAAUUUCCCAUUCUCCGAGCUGGGCUGCGAGCGGGGCGGGGGUGCCGCACCGCCGACCUUUGGCCACCCCACCCUGGGCCGCGCCACCAGGGUUUCGGGCUGAGCCGAGCGGGCGGGGAUGGAAAAACACCCCCAAAAAAGCCAUCGGACGGUGCCCUGCAGGGGUAAAUUUCGCCGCCCCUCCCGCCCCAUUUUUUCCCCACGAGAAACGGUGUUUUCGGGGGGCCUGCGGUUGUGCAUCGUGCCGUCCCCCCGUGCUGGGGCUGAGCCGGUGGGUGUGGGGUCUCUCCGUGCCCUGGGGAGGGGAGCACCCUUCAUGGCGGCAAAAACGGGCAAAAAGCGGCGGUUUUGGUUCUGACCAAGGUGACAGCUUGUCUGAAGCAAAGCCCUCAGGUGGUGAAUUCCUGUGCAAACCCCGUCCCGUCCCCGCACCGGGCAGGAUAAGGCCCCGGGCAGGGUUAGUGGCACCGCCGCGCUCUGCCAGCAUCACAAUGCCCAGGCGUCACCACGGCACCCAAACUUGCCCGUUCUUGGCGUUCCCGGCCCCAAAAGCAAAGGGAUGGGUGAGAGGGACGGCGGGGCCGGGGAUCUGCCCCACAUCCCGCCCAGCCCCGUGCUGCAGGCAGUGCUCUGCACAGCGAUUUCUGUGGGAAAAAGGGCGGAUUUGGCUCUUUCCAUGCGGCGUUACGGGGGCCUGCUCCAGACGGGGAGUUCUCAGCGACGAGAAGGAGAGUUUUCCAAAGGGGGUGCAGGCUCGCCUUCUUGUUUUAUUCAAGCUGCCUCUUUCUGCGAUUUUCUGCCCCGAUUUGAAGGGCCGAGCGAGCGGUGCCGCUGGCUGCCGGCCCGGUUCGCCGCUGCCCGCCCAGCCGAGCGUGACACCAGCCCCGCAGGCGAGCAUGGAGCAGCUCCGUGCCAGCACCUUAAAACCUGCUCUUAUCCCCUUUUCCCCCCCAAACCACCCAGUGCCGGCGACCCCCGACCAGCCUCACUCGGCCGACGACCACCACGAAUCCCCGUUUCGUGUUAAACCACCAAAACCAGUGCUUCUUCAGGGGGAAGCCUUGUGCCGGGGGCAAGCGGUGUCGGGGCGUCGAGGCGGGACUUACCGACCGGCGGUGACACCAUCCACAUGGCCGCAGCACCGGGGGCGCCCCAGGGAGGGAAACUGA